CACCAAUUAAUCCGCACAUAGUAAGGGCAAUCACCCCAACAAGAUAAGAACUAAAUUUCAUCACCAGAUUCUUGCCCAAAUUAGGUGAACCAAUUUACACAUAGCCAUCACUUUAAUUAAAAUCAAUUAGACGUUGGCUCCUAGGGACAUUCGAGCUCAAUAGGAUGAAGAUCACCGAAAGUUGCACCAAUUUCGCUCUGUGGCUCAGUUGAUGUCUAGGCAAGCUUUGUCCCAAGGAAGACAGUUCAUCUGUUCGAGGCAAGUGGUUUUUAAGUGGAACCUUUGCGAACGCAUCGUGACCCCCCCACUUAUCUGGGAGCUUACCUGGUCAACUUAGUCAUUAGACCGGAUUGGAGGCUUAGGUGCCCUCUUCAAACUAGUUAGGAGCUGUCUAGUGAUUUUAGGG
rnacentral:lncRNA from 1 species